CCCACGUUCGGAUUGCAGGCUGCAACCCGCCUGUAUGAAGUUGGAAUCGCUAGUAAUCGCGGAUCAGCAUGCCGCGGUGAAUACGUUCCCGGGCCUUGUACACACCGCCCGUCACACCAUGAGAGUCGGGAACACCCGAAGUCCGUAGUCUAACUUUCACGAGAGGACGCGGCCGAAGGUGGGUUCGAUAAUUGGGGUGAAGUCGUAACAAGGUAGC
rnacentral:rRNA from 1 species